UGGGGAAUCUUCCGCAAUGGACGAAAGUCUGACGGAGCAACGCCGCGUGAGUGAAGAAGGCCUUCGGGUUGUAAAGCUCUGUUAUUAGGGACGAACGUACGAUGUGUGAAUAAUGCAUCGUAGUGACGGUACCUAAGGAGGAAGCCACGGCUAACUACGUGCCAGCAGCCGCGGUAAUACGUAGGUGGCAAGCGUUGUCCGGAAUUAUUGGGCGUAAAGCGCGCGCAGGUGGGCUAGUCAGUCUCAUGUAAAAGGGCGGGGCUCAACCCCGUAGCGCGUGAGAAACUGCUAAGCUUGAGUGCCGGAGAGGAAAGCGGAAUUCCCAGUGUAGCGGUGAAAUGCGUAGAUAUUGGGAGGAACACCAGUGGCGAAGGCGGCUUUCUGGACGGUGUCUGACACUGAGGCGCGAAAGCCAGGGGAGCGAACG
rnacentral:rRNA from 1 species